rnacentral:lncRNA from 1 species
AGCAUUAUAGUCUUGAUAUUCGACUUUUUAUAGCCGAUUAAAAAAACCCUAAAUUUUUUUUGUCCUUUUGCGAUUUGGCUUGUUUCUUCUUGUUGCGUGUUGUCCAUUUUGCAGGUGAUUGACGGGGUGUGACAGGGAGCAGGUGGCGGUGCAGUUGGUGCCAGUGGCAGAGACGUGUGGCGCCAGGAGUUAGGUGUAGUGCCAGAAACCCUCAUGAUUUGGGCCAUUGGGCUUCUGUUUUUAUAUUUGGGCCAUGUGGUUUGGGUUGUCAUUGUAAUAGACUGUUUAUCAUUUGAUUUUGGGUUUCAUUUGUUCAAAUUUGGGCCCGGG